GUCGCCAGAUUAUGUGGAGCUGCCCUUGAAAUACCACCCUUGUAUGUUUGAUGUUCUAACAUUGCCCCCUAAUCGGGGGUGUGGACAGUGUCUGGUGGGUAGUUUGACUGGGGCGGUCUCCUCCGAAAGAGUAACGGAGGAGCGCAAAGGUUGGUUCAGCGCGGAUGGAAACCGCGUGUUGAGUGUAAGAGCACAAGCCAGCUUUACUGCGAGAGCGACGGCUCGAGCAGUCUCGAAAGAGGGCUCUAGUGAUCCUGCGAUCCCGUGUGGAAGGGUCGUAGCUCAUCGGAUAAAAGGUACUCUGGGGAUAACAGGCUGAUCGCUCCCGAGCGUCCAUAGCGGCGGAGCGGUUUGGCACCUCGAUGUCGGCUCAUCACAUCCUGGGGCUGAAGUCGGUCCCAAGGGUAUGGCUGUUCGCCAUUUAAAGUGGUACGCGAGCUGGGUUUAGAACGUCGUGAGACAGUUCGGUC
rnacentral:rRNA from 1 species